GUUUCCGUAGUGUAGCGGUUAUCACGUGUGCUUCACACGCACAAGGUCCCCGGUUCGAUCCCGGGCGGAAACA